rnacentral:rRNA from 1 species
GACGAACGCUGGCGGCGUGCUUAACACAUGCAAGUCGAACGGAAAGGCCCUGCUUUUGUGGGGUGCUCGAGUGGCGAACGGGUGAGUAACACGUGAGUAACCUGCCCUUGACUUUGGGAUAACUUCAGGAAACUGGGGCUAAUACCGGAUAGGAGCUCCUGCUGCAUGGUGGGGGUUGGAAAGUUUCGGCGGUUGGGGAUGGACUCGCGGCUUAUCAGCUUGUUGGUGGGGAAGUGGCUUACCAAGGCUUUGACGGGUAGCCGGCCUGAGAGGGUGACCGGCCACAUUGGGACUGAGAUACGGCCCAGACUCCUACGGGAGGCAGCAGUGGGGAAUAUUGCACAAUGGGCGGAAGCCUGAUGCAGCAACGCCGCGUGCGGGAUGACGGCCUUCGGGUUGUAAACCGCUUUCGCCUGUGACGAAGCGUGAGUGACGGUAAUGGGUAAAGAAGCACCGGCUAACUACGUG